rnacentral:lncRNA from 1 species
AAGCCGUCGUCUCUGGGGUUAUAUUAACCGCCGUUCUCGUCAGAGAACAGAAUUCGCGAGUUUAAUGGCUUCUCAUUUUCUUUCGGUUUUCGAUGUUUUAUAAACACUGUCAAUUAUUUUUGUUUUUCCUAUUUCCAAACGCCAUCAUGUUACGCUUUCAGAAUAGUCUUUUUUCGAUUUUUACCGUUUAUGGGUUUCGAUCUAGUAUAAUCAUAGAUCUCCCUCGGAUAAAUUAGAUCUCUACUUUUCUCGACACCACCUUUACAGAUCUAUUUAGAUCUCUACUUUUCUCGACACCACCUUUACAGAUCUAUUUUUUCUUUUAGCC